CGCAAUGGGGGAAACCCUGACGCAGCGACGCCGCGUGUAGGAAGAAGGCCUUCGGGUCGUAAACUACUGUCAAGAGGGAAGAAACCGUAGGACAAUAAUAAGGUCCUGCGCUGACGGUACCUCUAGAGGAAGCACCGGCUAACUCCGUGCCAGCAGCCGCGGUAAUACGGAGGGUGCGAGCGUUAAUCGGAAUCACUGGGCGUAAAGCGUGCGUAGGCGGCGUAUCAAGUCAGGCGUGAAAGCCCUCGGCUCAACCGGGGAAUAUGCGCUUGAAACUGGUACGCUAGAGUCUCGGAGAGGUUGGCAGGWAUUCCAGGUGUAGGAGURARAUCCGUAGAUAUCUGGAGGAACACCGGUGGCGAAGGCGGCCAACUGAAACGAGUAACUGACGCUGAGGUACGGAAAGCGUGGGUAGCAAACAGGAUAUAAGAUACCCUGGUAGUCCCACGCGUGUAAACGAUGGAUAUUAGGUGUCGGGGUUUAACUUCGUGUGCCGCAGUUUCAACGUCGUUACAACUAUCCCGUCC
rnacentral:rRNA from 1 species